UACAGAGGUCCCAAGCGUUGUUCGGAUUCACUGGGCGUAAAGGGCGCGUAGGUGGUGUGGUAAGUUUGAUGUGAAAUCUCUGGGCUCAACCCAGAAAUGGCAUUGAAUACUAUCUCGCUAGAGAGUCGGAGGGGGGACUGGAAUACUUGGUGUAGCAGUGAAAUGCGUAGAUAUCAAGUGGAACACCAGUGGCGAAGGCGAGUCCCUGGACGACUUCUGACACUGAGGCACGAAAGCUAGGGGAGCAAACAGG
rnacentral:rRNA from 1 species